rnacentral:rRNA from 1 species
AGCGAACGCUGGCGGCAGGCUUAACACAUGCAAGUCGAACGGGCAUCUUCUGAUGUCAGUGGCAGACGGGUGAGUAACACGUGGGAACGUACCCUUCGGUUCGGAAUAACUCAGGGAAACUUGAGCUAAUACCGGAUACGCCCUUUUGGGGAAAGGUUUACUGCCGAAGGAUCGGCCCGCGUCUGAUUAGCUUGUUGGUGGGGUAACGGCCUACCAAGGCGACGAUCAGUAGCUGGUCUGAGAGGAUGAUCAGCCACACUGGGACUGAGACACGGCCCAGACUCCUACGGGAGGCAGCAGUGGGGAAUAUUGGACAAUGGGCGCAAGCCUGAUCCAGCCAUGCCGCGUGAGUGAUGAAGGCCUUAGGGUUGUAAAGCUCUUUUGUCCGGGACGAUAAUGACGGUACCGGAAGAAUAAGCCCCGGCUAACUUCGUG